AGGAGCCGUGUGAAGCGAAAGUUUCAUGCACGGUUCUGAACGAGAGGUAGGAAUGGCGACAUCCCUAUCGACUCUAAU
rfam:Planktothrix tepida PCC 9214 isolate BBR_PRJEB10993 genome assembly, scaffold: BBR_B_PL9214_scaffold46